UAGGGAAUCUUCGGCAAUGGGGGCAACCCUGACCGAGCAACGCCGCGUGAGUGAAGAAGGUUUUCGGAUCGUAAAGCUCUGUUGUAAGAGAAGAACGUGUGUGAGAGUGGAAAGUUCACACAGUGACGGUAACUUACCAGAAAGGGACGGCUAACUACGUGCCAGCAGCCGCGGUAAUACGUAGGUCCCGAGCGUUGUCCGGAUUUAUUGGGCGUAAAGCGAGCGCAGGCGGUUUAAUAAGUCUGAAGUUAAAGGCAGUGGCUUAACCAGUGUUCGCUUUGGAAACUGUUAAACUUGAGUGCAGAAGGGGAGAGUGGAAUUCCAUGUGUAGCGGUGAAAUGCGUAGAUAUAUGGAGGAACACCGGUGGCGAAAGCGGCUCUCUGGUCUGUAACUGACGCUGAGGCUCGAAAGCGUGGGGAGCAAACAGG
rnacentral:rRNA from 1 species